rnacentral:rRNA from 1 species
UACGGGGGGGGCAAGCGUUGUUCGGAAUUACUGGGCGUAAAGGGCUCGUAGGUGGCCAACUAAGUCAGACGUGAAAUCCCUCGGCUUAACCGGGGAACUGCGUCUGAUACUGGAUGGCUUGAGAUUGGGAGAGGGACGCGGAAUUCCAGGUGUAGCGGUGAAAUGCGUAGAUAUCUGGAGGAACACCGGUGGCGAAGGCGGCGUCCUGGACCAACACUGACACUGAGGAGCGAAAGCGUGGGGAGCAAACAGG